GAGAGACGUAAGGUCGGCGGAGAAUGCGCGGGUCGAGUGCUGUAGUUCGAUUUUUGCGUGUGUGCGUUGCUUGCGGCCUUUGUGCCUUUUUAUUCUUUGCUUACCUUUAUGAUAUAAAGACCUUAUUUCUUACAAGGAGGAAAAGACCGCUGACUUCAGAAACAGCGGGAACCCCAGCUCGUCCCCGGUAAGACGGCCGUGGCCUGUCAGCUGGAACGGUCCUGCCGGAUGGAUCGCUCUUUGAGAGCGUACACUCCCGCGUGCGCGACACCAGGCGGCCCGUAGGUUCCAGGUGCCGAGCACACUACCUCCUCAGUUUACCUAAGUGCCCUACCAGUAUCAUAUUCUGUGUAUGCUGUGAUGUGAACGAGGUUUGUAAACACAGGCUGGUCUAAUGGAGCCCAAUGAGACCGCCAGAGGAUUAGUGUCUUGUCCAACAGUACUUGACUUGCUGGUAGAGCCCUAAUGACUGAGGGCUGCCCACAAGGGAAAGGUGAGAGAACCUUCACGUCUCUCAGGUAGUUUCCAGCCUGCACUUUCCCCCAGCUAAAGAUAAGUUUUGUUAUUUUUAAAAUUCUCUUUAUUUAGAGCAAAUUCAGCCCUAUCUCAGAUCGGGAAAUUAUAUAGUAUCAAAAGAGAGAGUCUUCAUAUUAGCAACCCAAAUAAAUAAACUAUUUUCCUGGGUGAUCAAAUAAGUUUGAUUCCUGCUUGAGUUCUAUUUAGAUACUAGGUGGAAUUUUACAAAGGGUCUACGUUCCAUGAACUGUAAUGGAAUGAAAAUAUUCACAAUCUAAAGACAUUUUCAGUAAGUAGAUCAAUAAAAGCUCUUUAUGAGAGACACCGAUAGGCUAAAUUGUUCUUAGGAACUCUUGAGUUUAUAAUUUGCUAGAGUGAAGUGUCUUUAAGGAUUAGGUGGAAAGAUUAUGAACUACAAAGCAAGACAUUUGUUUUAAAAUACAGCAUAUAGAGUAGAAUACAAAUUAGAAUCCAGCUACUGAAUAACCAGGGUGUUGAUUAAAGUGAUUUAGCUGAGUGAAAUAAACCAGACAUGAAAGGACAAAUAUUAUGAUUCCACUUACAUUAAGUACCUAGAGUAGUCAAAACUCCUAGAGACAGAAGGUGGAAUGGUAGCAAGAGCAGGGGUGGAGAGGGUGCCCAGGAGAAGGGGAAAUGAGGAGUUAUAUUUCAGUGGAUAAUAGAGUUUCAGUUUAGGAUGAUUUAGAUUCUGGAGAUGAGUGGUGUUGUGUGGGUUGCACAAUAUGAAUGUACUUAAUGCAGUGGACCAUAUACUUAAUGAAAA
rnacentral:lncRNA from 1 species